AAGUCGUAACAAGGUUUCCGUAGGUGAACCUGCGGAAGGAUCAUUACCAAAUAUAUCAAUUUACUCAACCCAAUGUGCACGAUGAAUGAACUGUCUUGGUUUUUGGGGUGGGCAUUAUAACUGUUCACCCCAACCAUUUUGUUUAACAACUUUAUCACACUUUUCAUGGCAUUUGUACAUUUUGUCUAAUUAACGACAACUUUUAACGGUGGAUCUCUUGGCUCGUGG
rnacentral:misc_RNA from 1 species